GAAGGCUGACGGCGUGUGUUCCACCGAGGCCGGCAGUCGGCCAGAGAACGUGAGGAAGAACCGCUACAAAGACGUGCUGCCAUAAAAGGUGUGAGCGGUACUGGGCCCAGGAGCAGGAGCCACUGCAGACCGGGCUUUUCUGCAUCACUCUGAUAAAGGAGAAGUGGCUGAAUGAGGACAUCAUGCUCAGGACCCUCAAGGUCACAUUCCAGAAGGAGUCCCGUUCUGUGUACCAGCUACAGUAUAUGUCCUGGCCAGACCGUGGGGUCCCCAGCAGUCCUGACCACAUGCUUGCCAUGGUGGAGGAAGCCCGUCGCCUCCAGGGAUCUGGCCCUGAACCCCUCUGUGUCCACUGCAGGUUUGGGAAAUGGGCUUCAGGAGGGUCUGGUGAGGCAGAGGGUACAGAGCAUGGAGGGGAGUACAGGGCAAGGGGCUAGUCUUGUAGUCUGAGUGCCUAUUUUGAGAAACCUUACUCACCUCCAUGGACUAUAAUUGUGAGCACUUGUUCAGCACAGACUCAACUGGGGAAUAAGCACACAGCUGCUGCUCAACAAAAUGUAAGUGAUUAAAAAGGUUUUCCUUGUUCAGAUAUAA
rnacentral:sRNA from 1 species